GUCAAUAUUAAAAGCUGCACACUUUGGUAAUAUGACUCCUGGUGAGACACUGCCAGAUCAAUGAGCGUUACGACUGGGGCACUUUUGGAGGUUUUAAGUGUCACAGUAACAGACAACAGCUUCUUUUAAAUAGCCUGUUAUUUCGGGCUAAACAGGCUACAACAUUGACUAUGUACAUUCAACGUGCACCAAUACAUGUACAGCACACAUGGCUUACAGAACUAGCAGGUUGAAUUGUCAGCUGUCAACCUAAAGGUGUAGUGUAAUUUGAUUGGCUGAAAUGUACCAACCUUAUAUCUGUGGGAGGAGCCUAUACUUAUCUAAUGGCGAGUAUAAUUAACUGCCUAUAUCUAUUGGGAUCAUUGACUCUCUGUCAAGGUGUCUGACAUAUGUUAUGGAGAUACUUUUUGAUUAUAUUACGGGUGAAUUCUAGAUCUAGUCUCUGUCUACUGUGCUGUGGGAGAAAUGUUGAAAAGGCAAAUCAAAUUCAGGGAAAAACGUGACCGUUAGGGGAUGUGCAGACGGUCGUCUUUACAUGUCAACAGUUAGUGAGAUUAGUGAGAAACUUCUCUGCAUUUCUACAAAGUAUGUCUUUCAUUCUGGUGAUCAGGGAUGUUAUUCUUGAAACAAUACUUUCAACGUGGUACUGUGUUUUAUAAGGUUGUACAAAAGUAGGGUUGGAUAUUGCAGAGUAAACCUCUGACUUUUAAGAUCAGCACCACACACAGGAUUUGAUGACAUAUCAAUUAGUGUUUGUCCUGGAGCCAGACACCAGACUCUGCACCAAAUGUUAAACCAGGCAUUGUUCCCAGCCGACAUACCACAGACAUGUAGCCACUGUGCUGGGUUGAGCCGAUUGAAGUGUGAUCAAUUAAGGAUAUAUCUGUGAACUCUUCGUAGCUACAGCAUCACUGCAAAAUGGGCUUGGACAAGUGGAUUACAGUGAAACGAAUUUCAUCACUAAGAAAACUUGGCAGUUUCUGUCCUUCUUUACACAAAGAAAAUGAAACGUUUGACUUUUUGGAAGAAUCAACUCAAAGCUAUGAAUUAGCAAGCACUGGAAAACAGGUAUUUGAUGAAAAUGCAAUAUUGCAGUUUUCCUGUGUACCAUGUACAAUUGUCCCAGCAAUCUAGAUGGCACCGGCCUGGUUGUCUCUGUAUCCAGCCCGUGUUUUAGGAAACGAAUGUCUAUACUGCUCUUCAAAUACUGAAGCCGCUCAAAGCUGGGAAAGAUCGUGGCAUAUUCACCCAGUAGACGUAAUUGUAUCUCAGAUCUACCAUGGUCUGUAGUUACAUCUGUGUAUUUAUAUCUGUGUAAUACUGUCAUGUUACGUCCAAGGUAAUACACACUUACAGUGCUACACUCAUUCUGCCCUAGCUUUUUGUAAAUGAUUCACCAUCAACACAUCCUAAGCCUUAAUCCUAUAAUUUAUAGGGUCCUUGAAAAAAUAUCAAAUUACCUUAAAAACAAAGUCAAGUGUGAAAUGAUGAACGAAAUAUUAGCUUAUUCGUUCGUCUUUUAAUUUUUGCCCUCAUUAAUAAGGGCGAAAUUUUAACGGACAGCAAAUAUUCAUACACACCAUACUUAAUUCAUAUAGUCAUUACAUGUGAAAGGUGCAAAAUUUCUUCUGAAUUCUGCCAAUGAAGGGGAACAGUUUGGGCGGGCGAAAGUCUGACUGGACAAACGGUUCCUGGUACAUUGUGUAAUUUUAUUAUAUUGCGGUACAUUAGUUUUCUGAAAAUAUGAUAAAAUGUGUUUUGAUUGAAUGCUUUACCGAACAGUAUAAAUGAAAUCAAUUGAAUCCACCUUUUUUUAUAGUGCUGGCUAUUAUCCUGCAACAACUAGAUUCAAUCUAAGUGAUUCAGAGCACAGAGAAAAAACAUGAUUAAACCACUUUUAUAUAUUGGUGCUGUAUGUUAUUGUAACAGUGAAAUGUAAGGACAGACUUUUUGUAUCCAUCUGCUACCUACCGUGUCAUGCUCAAGUUAAUCUUAAAUGGGAUCAUUAAGACACAUGUCAGUAACGACAGGGAUAUUUUUGGGAUAUUAAAUCAUGCUGGAGGUUGUUAAUUAAGGCAGGUGUCAGUAAAAACAGGUGUCAUUAUAGAUUGGGAAAAUAUUAAAGAAUCAAAAUUUUUGGGAUAUUAAAUCAUGCUGGAGCAUGUUAAUUAAGAAAGGUGUCAGAAAAGACAGGUGUCAUUAUAGUCAGGGAUAAAUACAUAAGAACCAGACUUUUGGGGAUAUAAAAUUAUGAUGAAGCAUGUUUUUUAAAUUAAGUCAAGUCAGGUAUCAGUGAAAUCAAGUGUCAGCGUUUUCAGGGGAAAAAUAAAAAGGAUUAAAUGUUUUGGGCUAUAAAAUCAUGAUGGAACAUGUCAAUGAAGGCCUGUGUGUCAAUGAUGUCAGAAUCCACUCUGCCAUUGACCUAAAUAUACUCCUUAUUCUAGUUGGAGGGUUUUAAAAACCACAUAUCAGUUUACAGGACAUAAAACAGGUACAUAUAAAUGUACUCUCCUUUCUUCUGUAUCAAUUGCAUAACACCUGUUAAUAAAACAGUCUUACAGCUUUGAACUACAGGUUUGGUUUAAGGUUUCAUUGAGAAUCGCUCCAGUGUUGGGGUAUUGUAAACCUACACUUAACAUUGUUUGUAUUGAGCGAUCAAUCUCAUUGUUCAGAUAUUAUUUUUUAACUUAUUGUACAACAAACUGAAUGUUAACAGUGUGUAGUAAGCUCUAUGUAUCGGUGGCAGACCCAGACAUUUUCUAUUUUUCCUAUUUGGAAUCGCAUCUCAUGGACAAAAAAACCUUUCCCUUGUAUUUUGACCCUAGUCAUUUGCCACGCUUAAAACUAACAUGCUACUACACGCUGGGUACCAACAUUUCUGUUGAAUUUAGGGUCAAAGGUAAACAUUAAUCAAAAGUCUUUUACUUAGUCUUAUCAAAUGAAUGUAGAUAAUAAAAUUGAUACCACUAGUUUUUUCUUGAUGUCAUAGAUGGUUAUCAUUUUGUUUGUAGAAACUGUUUACAUGACAAACUAUAUUGUUGUACACUUGUGCUAUUCUUAACGCUGUAUUGUGGAUAAAGACAUGUUAUUAGUAGUGCUUUAUUCUCAAAUGAUAAACAGCCAUUUUCCAUCAGGUGUUCGAAAAUUAAGAAUUAGGUCUUCCAUUGGCAGGACUUUUAACUAUUCACCCCUAAAGACAUAUUUUAAUCCUUCCAAUUUCAAAUGUUGGAAUAGUUCAUUAUGAAAUUUCAGGGGUGAAUGAGUUACUUGACCUUUUCAAAGUUAUCAUCAAACUCUCCAAAAGGCGUUUUUACUUCACAUUCAGUUAGGUACACGUAUGAAAAUAUAUUACGAAUUCAAAUCUUGAAUAAUUCAAGAUAUUAGAUGUUUGUCUUGGCUAUCUAAACUUUCAUAGAAGGUAGGUAUCGCAGGAUCAUUUCUGUAAUGGUCGUUAAUGAUCUUCCUCUGUGCUAUUAAUGUAGCAAUGUACGACAAAAAGUGCAUUUUUUGACUCCAGGUUUUGUAUUCUUAAAAAAGGUCAUUAAAUGGAGUAGAUAUUGAAUUACUCAUAUGAUAAUAAUACAUCACCCUUGCCUCUAUAAAUAUAAAUAAAAAAUUGAUAUAUUUAAAUAUAUACAUAAAUAAAUAUUAUAAAACUAAUCAAGUUAGCUGGAUUCUAGAAGUUCUGAAGAAAUUUCUAGAAUCCAUUUUUUUAGCAAAGGGGUAUCAACAUUAUUACUUGAUGAUGUUAACUCAUUUACCCCUGAAAUUUCAUAAUGAAAUAUUCGAACUUUUGAGUUGGAAGAGUUCAAAUGUGUCUUCAGGGGUGAAUAAGUUAACAAAUGGACUGUACUUUAACGGUUUUGUCUUCUCUAAUCCUUUAGACUUUCAUAGGGGAUAGAUGUCAAUGGUACAUGGCAUCAUUCAGCAAAUUUUUCCUCCUCUGCUAAAAACUACGUCUCCUGAAACAAUUCUUUCAAUAAUAUAUCAGAAUUUGUAUAAAGUUUCUUUCAUGAACAUGAUGAUAGAAAAAAAUUGUAUGUAAAAAAUGUUUGCCAUCAUCUUAAUACGCAUUCUAUUUCCAUCUUGCCUAUACUGGCACUCAUAACAGUAUUAGCCUAUAUCCUCCACUGGUACUUACAUAUUAAUUGCAAGUCACCUCUUGUAUAAAGUAUCAAAAAAUUAAACUAGUACAAAAAGUAAACUGUUAUAUAAUUUGUACAGUAUAUGUCUUGUUUGCAUUUCAUUUCCAUCUUGUCUGUUGUUUAUCCUCAUCUUAAGAUUUUUAUUGGUAAAUCUUAUAAAGUGACAUGCAGCAUAAUGGCCCUUUUGAGAUGAAGCUCAGCAUCAAUGCUGAUGAAAUGGAAUAAGGUUAUAAAAUGUGUCUUCUCUUGAAUGUUUCACAUUUACUACAGCAGAAAACCACUGUGUAGAACUUUCUCUCUUCUGUCUGCCUAAGUUUAUGGUCUCCGAUAUUUUAACUCAGGUUUCAAAUACUAUUCCUUGACUGAUGUACUCAGUACAAGUGUUGCAUGUUCCUCCUCUGCCAGGAGUAAUAAUUACAGAUAUUGUUCCUGAUAUCAUCUUGUAUUGUAAAAACUUAUUCUUGAUAUAAAUAUAUAUCGUAAAAACUUAAUCUUGACAUAAACUUAUAUCGCUAGAACUUAUUCUUGAUAUAAAUAUAUAUCGUUAAAACUUACUAUUGAUAUAAACUUAUAUCGUUAAAACUUACUAUUGAUAUAAACUUAUAUCGCUAAAACUUAUUCUUGAUAUUUAAAGCGUGUAUUGUUAAAACAUACUCUUGAUGUAAAUUUAAUCCUGAUAAAAAUUAAUUGUUGAUUUUAUACCAUUUUAAGACAGGAUAUAACGAUGUGUUCAUUCCACUUCAAUGUCUAGUCUGCUAUUGAAGAAUUUUGUCUAAGAAAUGUGAUUCAGUGGUGGACAUUUUACUCCACAUGUUCAGCAGUUAACUUGGUUUGUCAUCGGCAAUCUUUUUUAAUUCAAUUUCCAUUUUGCCUAUUCUUUCACCAGUAUAUUAAAGACAUAUGGCACUCGUGGCAAUCUUAUCUUGGUUCCCCCACUGGAGCAGACUCUCUCGCAAGUCUAUGUGAGCAUCCCUGUUAUCAAGGGGGUUUCUCUUGGGUUGAAGCGGCAUCCAAGCAUACAUUUCCUUGAACACUGUGGUAGAAUAUGAAAAGAGUAGACCACUGCUACAGGCCUAGUAUGGCUCUGUCCUUCACUAUUCAACAGCCUAUUCUGCAGUCUACAGUUUCCCCUGGUUACUGCAGACAAUCCCCUCCAUAUUGCAGUCUUCAGUUUCCCCUGGUUACUGCAUACAAUCCCCUCCAUAUUGCAGUCUACAGUUUCCCCUGGUUACUGCAGACACUCCCCUCCAUAUUGCAGUCUUCAGUUUCCCCUGGUGACUGCAUACAAUCCCCUCCAUAUUGCAGUCUACAGUCUCCCCUGGUUACUGCAGACAAUCCCCUCCAUGUUGCAGUCGACAGUUUCCCCUGGUUACUAUUGAUAUAAACUUAUAUCGCUAAAACUUAUUCUUGAUAUUUAAAGCGUGUAUUGUAAAAACUUACUCUUGAUGUAAAUUUAAUCCUGAUAAAAAUUUAUUGUUGAUUUUAUAACAUUUUAAGACAGGAUAUAACGAUGUGUUCAUUCCACUUCAAUGUCUAGUCUGCUAUUGAAGAAUUUUGUCUAAGAAAUGUGAUUCAGUGGUGGACAUUUUACUCCACAUGUUCAGCAGUUAACUUGGUUUGUCAUCGGCAAUCUUUUUGCAUUCAGUUUCCAUUUUGCCUAUUCUCUCACCAGUAUAUUAAAGACAUAUGGCACUCGUGGCAAUCUUAUCUUGGUCCCCCACUGGAGCAGACUCUCUCUCUCAAGUCUUUGUGAGCAUCCCUGGUAUCAAGGGGGUUUCUCUUGGGUUGAAGCGGCAUCCAAGCAUAAAUUUCCUUGAACACUGUGGUAGAAUAUGAAAAGAGUAGACCACUGCUACCGGCCUAGUAUGGCUUUGUCCUUCACUAUUCAACAGCCUAUUUUGCAGUCUACAGUUUCCCCUGGUUACUGCAGACAAUCCCCUCCAUAUUGCAGUCUACAGUUUCCCCUGGUUACUGCAGACAACCCCCUCCAUAUUGCAGUUUUCAGUUUCCCCUGGUUUACUGCAGACAAUCCCCUCCAUAUUGCAGUCUACAGUUUCCCCUGGUUACUGCAGACAAUCCCCUCCAUGUUGCAGUCGACAGUUUCCCCUGGUUACUGCAGACAAUUUCCUUUAUGUUGCAGUCUUCAGUUUCCCCUGGUUACUGCAGACAAUCCCCUCCAUAUUGCAGUCUACAGUUUCCCCUGGUUAUUGCAGACAAUCCUCUCCAUGUUGCAGUUGACAGUUUCCCCUGGUUACUGCAGACAAUUUCCUUUAUGUUGCAGUCGACAGUUUCCCCUGGGUUACUGCAAACAAACCCCUCCAUGUUGCAGUCGACAGUUUCCCCUGGUUACUGCAGACAAUUUACUUUAUGUUGCAGUCUACAGUUACCCCUGGUUACUGCAGACAAUCUCCUCCAUGUUGCAGUCGACAGUUUCCCCUGGUUACUGCAGACAAUUUACUUUAUGUUGCAGUCUACAGUUACCCCUGGUUACUGCAGACAAGCCUCUCCAUGUUGCAGUCUACAGUUACCCCUGGUUACUGCAGACAAUUUCCUUUAUGUUGCAGUCGUCAGUUUCCCCUGGUUACUGCAGACAAUUCCCUCCAUUUUGAAGUCAACAGUUUCCCCUGGUUACAAGCAGCUAAGACAAUACCCUCCAUGUUGCGUCCUAUGGUUCCCAAGGCUUACCAAUAGUUCAAAUAAUCUACACCACAUUGCAUUUCUUCUAGCAUUUUCUCUAUCCCUUAAUUUGUAAGAAUUCUCACUGUACUAAGUUACUAAGUAGUUGGUACACUAAAACACAAAGGUUACAAAUGAGUGAAAGAAUGCCUUCUCCAGUACUAGUGUUAUAUCCUUCUUACUCAUGGCACCCCUUUAACAGUUCAACAUCCAAUUAUUUAUUACACACACACACGCUUAGAAAUGUGAGUAGGAGUUGUCACAGCCCCCAGAACACGUUUGUAUUUAAUUAUAGGGAUUGCUUGUAGGGGUUUUGUUUCAAAAUCAAGGUAAAUGCCUUUCCUGACGAAUACAUAUAAAAAGUAAAUCAAACAUCAAGCCACAUUAUAACAGCUACUGGUACAUCUGUGAGCCGUGAAAUCCUCGGUGGAGCUUUGUACACAGGCAGAACUAGAGGUUAAGCUUUUUAGUGUCAAUAUCACAAAGCUAGGAUUACACACCUAACUGGUUAUUGUUGUUCUGUAGUGAGGGAGGAGUGUUACAAAUUUAAGACAGAAUUUAAACCCUAGCUAUCUGUGUAGUGGUGUUAUAGCUAUAAAGACCUGACAGGAACUAAGACUAUAAAGAAAGUUUACAAUUUCCUCAUGUCUUUCACUUGAGAAAUCAGAGAUCAGAUCAACAGAUACUAGUGAUAAAAAUGGCUACUGGGUUUGGGAUAAAUCGGCACCUUCAGAGUUUUGAAUAGAGAAGUUUUUUUACUAGCAUAAGAAACAAAAUGGAAAUAUCAAAUUGAAAAAAGCCCAUUUGAAAGCUUCUAUAGAUACAUGUUUAUUAUGAAGAUUCAAUCAAGACCAUGAUCCCAACGACAACAGUGUUACACAUAGUGCACAAAAUCAAUUUGAAAGCACUUUGUGAAGUUCCUAGCAGGAGUUCUCGGAGAAAAAUCACUGGCCAUAGGUCGGACCUGGUUUUUCUCCAGGAACUCCAGCUUUCCUCCACCAUCAAAACCUGGCACAUCCUUAAAUGAUCAAUAGCUGUAAAUAGGACGUAAAACACUAAUAAACCAAAACCAAGCUGCUGAAUCAAAAUUUCCAUGAAGUUUCAUAUCACUACUGAUAGACAAUGUCUGAUUAGUCGGUUAUUUUCGCUAGUUUAAUCUGACGCUGUCUUUCAAAAGUGAUACGACAUGGCAAGGAAAUAUUCAGCAAAAUGUUGCAGCCUGGAAAAUCAAAAAUUACUUUAAUGGAUUGUACAGGAUAUUGUUUCACACUGAUAUGGCAGGACUGUGCAUAUGAGUUGUUAAUCUGUGCACAAGUUACCGGUCUGUGCGUACCAGUUAGUCAUCCCUGUACACUUUUCCGAUCUAUGUACACAAAUUAUCUAUGUACCUGAUAAGUUGUCAAUCUGUGAUCACGAAAAUAACACUUGCCUAAAGCGCACAUCCAUAAUUUAAUGAUUAAUAAAUUUAACGCCCUUUCAAAUAUCUCUCCCAUAUGGUUGCAUUUUGUCUCUCAGACAAAACUGUAAAUAUAACUAUAUCUAUACAGGUUAAGCCCAUGCUAAAUAAGGGAAAUCACAAUAAUUUACCAGCCCCGUACAUCCAUACUAGAUCCCUGAAGCACGAACUACUAAACACAAUGGGAGACAGUAAUACAGGGAACUCAUGUGCACAGAAUUCCUACUCGUGCACACAGAUAACUUACAUUUAUAUUUAUUUUUCAAACUGUUAAAGACACUCAGUCAACCUCUUGUCAACUAACUUGAAACAUUGUAUAUAAGCCUUUCCAGCACUGACUUGAAGUGUUGUGUAUUGCACAUUUUUUAUUUGGCAGACCAAUACUGUACACCAUUACCACAUGUUUACAUAAGAAUGCAUACAAAUUAUUGAAUAAAAUCCUUCCCUCCC